rnacentral:rRNA from 1 species
UACGAAGGGGGCUAGCGUUGUUCGGAAUUACUGGGCGUAAAGCGUGCGUAGGUGGUGAGUUAAGUCUGUCGUGAAAGCCCCGGGCUCAACCUGGGAAUGGCGAUGGAUACUGGCUCGCUAGAGUGCGGUAGAGGAGAGUGGAAUUCCCGGUGUAGCAGUGAAAUGCGUAGAGAUCGGGAGGAACAUCAGUUGCGAAGGCGGCUCUCUGGACCAGCACUGACACUGAGGCACGAAAGCGUGGGGAGCAAACAGG